rnacentral:lncRNA from 1 species
GCCUUCUUUCUGGCGCUGUUCCAUGUGUGCUUGGAGAUGAGGAUCAUCAGAGGCUGUUUCUGAGGAUGUGCCUAGAGCUUGUCCUGUGUUGCACAUUGACUGAUUUGCCUAUCUGAUCCAAAGCACUAGUCAAACACUUCCAUUUUCAUUUCUUUUAUUUUGCUGAGGAGGUGAUGAAUAUCAGAGGCUGUUUCUGAGGAUGAGCCUAGAGCUCUUCCUAUGUUGCAAAAUAACUGAUUUGCCUAUCUGAUCCAAAGCACUAGUGAAACACUUUCAUUUUCUUUUCUUUAUUUGGCUGAGGAGAUGAUGAACAUCAGAGGCUGUUUCUGAGGAUGAGCCUAGAGCUCUUCAUAUGCUGCAAAAUAACUGAUUUACCUAUCUGAUCCAAAGCACUAGUCAAACACUUUCUAUUUUCUAUUUUCUAUUUUGCCAAGGAGAUGAUGAAUUUCAGAGGCUGUUUCUGAGGUUGAGCCCAGAGCUCUACUAUGUUGCAAAAUAACUGAUUUGCCUAUCUGAUCCAACUUACUAUUCAAACACUUUCAUUUUCUUUUCUUUAUUUUGCUGAGGAGAUGAUGAAUAUCAGAGGCUGUUUCUGAGGAUGAGCUCAGAGCUCUACCUAUGUUGCAAAAGUACUGAUUUGCCUAUCUGAUCCAAAUUACCAUUCAAAUACUUUAUAUUUUCUCUUCUAUUUUGCCUAGGAGAUGAUGAAUAUCAGAGGCUGUUUCUGAGGAUGAGCCUAGAGCUCUCCAUGUGUUGCAAAAUUACUGAUUUGCCUAUCUGAUCCAAAGCACUACUAGGUAGAAUUUUUUUGGGCUACUGGUGAGAAGCUGUAUGUAGGCUAUGCUUGCUAUCUUGGCUGUUGUGUCAAUUUGUUUUACCUUCAUUGGGGAAAUGAUGAUUAAUUCUUCAGAUAUGUCCUAAAUGGGCUUUUAAAAGAAUGGUGACAAAUUGCACGUCAGUCUGAUCCCCUAUGGUUUUUUACUAAUUUGUUAGUAGUAUCCACUUUUAUAUGGGAAAUGAUGAUUAUUUCAUCUCAGAUGUCCUUUAUGGAUAAUUCAGAAUGAUGAGAAAUUGCACGUCAGUCUGAUCCCAAACUGUAGUUAAACUGUUACUAAUUUAUGUUGAUCUGUCACUAGUUGAUUUAUGUUGAUUGUCCACCAAAUAAUUGGUUUGCCCUUCUCAACUGUGAUGAACAUUCCUAUAAUAGUCAACUAGCAUCGUUGUGAUCAGUCAAACUAAUUUGGACCCUUGCACUGUUGUUUGUGGCAGGAGGAGCUAGGAACUGAAUAUCUGGUGCAGCCGCUUGGCCGUGCUGAAGACGAAGAGCAUUCCAGUGACUUUGAGCCAGAAGAAAAUGGUGAUGGUGCUGAGGACGAGGAGAUUGAGGAUGAUGAUGCUGAGGAUGGUGAGGAUUCUGUCAAGGCGCAAUCCUCUUCGAAGAGGAAGAGGUCUGGCGCGGAGGAUGAAGAUGAUGAUGACGGUGAUGAUGAUGGUGAUGAUGAUGAGAAGCCUCCAUCAAAGCGAUAGUCAAUUUGUUCUUGCUGAUCUGGUAUCUUUUCUGCUUGGGCCAAGAAGGAAAAUAAUCCUCACGGAGAGGGUUGUUGGUAAAUGCUGUAGCUUUAGGACAUCUGUGGUAGGUGUAGCAGCUCGAACUUGAGUCUACCCAUGUUAGUUGUUAGUGCAUACUGCUGAUGUUGAUUAACAGCCUCGGGGAACUUCUGUAUGAGCAUUAGAUAUGGGGCUUGUUAUAUGCUUGUGUAGCUUCUGAUUAAAACCUGUGGAAUGUGGAUGCUCUGUUCUGAAUCUUGUUUUCAUGAUAUUUCU